GAUUCUACGCACCAAAAUUAAUAAGGAAAAGUGUUUUCCCGUGAAAUUUUGGAGUAGUCGAUUUUUGGUAAAAAAGGAAAGUAUCGAACGAUCCCGCACUAUCAGACUUUCAGUCGGAAAACGUUACCGCCUUUUUAUGGGAGAGAUGGGAGACCUCUAAUUAAAAAUGGAGCUUAUCAAUAUCACUCUUGGAACGAAUUACACGGCAAAUUCUCUUUGAUGUCAAAAAUUUUCUGGAAAUAGAGGGGUAGAACAUCAAUCCUGCCCGAGAGAGCUACCACUUCAAUCGUUAGAAAAAGUUACCACCUUUUAUGGGGAUCCCUAAUUAAAAACGGAGCUGGCCAACACUGCGUUAAGAGUUAAUUUCGAUUCUGGAGAUGGAGGCAUGUAAUGAUUGCGUUGCUGUCCACCAACACCACUUCGAUUGCUGAAGUUUUGCUGAAAUGGGGCACUUUUCUACUUCCCGUCGAGCAUAUGACGUUCGAACAAUGGCGAUUCUCAUGUCGGAGAAUCAAUACAGUUCAUUGUUGAACACACGAGCGAGCGGAGCGGUGUUUCAUCUAGAGCGAAAUCCUCUUCUUUGUCGACGUACGGUACAUCAGCAGUAAGGGAUGCAGUAAGAAAACAACGUCCACCUAACCCCUCAUGUUCUCUGUCGGGAGCGACAUCAGCAGGAAGGGAUGCAGUAAGCAAACAACGUCCAUUGCUAGAAAUCUGGAAACGUCCGUUCUUAACGUCCACUAAUUUCCAUGGUAGCGUACUUAGUGGCAGCACGAUUCCUCCCCAUUAGCGCUAAGCAAGCUUCCGCCGAACUGAGCUGGGGAUAAUUAAAGGCUUUAUUAUUAUUAAGAAACGAUGAUGGCAGCGAUAAGAGCAAAAGCUAAUUUACAAUAAAUUUUUUAGAUCUUUUUUUAAUUUUUUUGAAUGGGUAAAAAAUAAAAAAAAAUU